rnacentral:rRNA from 1 species
UACGUAGGGUGCGAGCGUUGUCCGGAAUUACUGGGCGUAAAGAGCUCGUAGGUGGUUUGUCGCGUUGUUCGUGAAAACUCACAGCUUAACUGUGGGCGUGCGGGCGAUACGGGCAGACUGGAGUACUGCAGGGGAGACUGGAAUUCCUGGUGUAGCGGUGGAAUGCGCAGAUAUCAGGAGGAACACCGGUGGCGAAGGCGGGGUCUCUGGGGCAGUAACUGACGCUGAGGAGCGAAAGCGUGGGGGAGCGAACAGG